AAGUCACCGGUGCAAACCGGGUCGCUCUGACACCAAACAGCUAGCCCACCCAAUAUUUACUAACACCCAAAUAUUCAUAAACCUAAAAAUCCUAGAUAUCGCAACUAAACCAUUUUUCCACUUAAGUAUAGGUGAUAGAAAAAGAUUCUUCGGCGCAAUAGAGAAAGUACCGCAAGGGAACGCUGAAAGAGAAAUGAAACAAUUCAGUUUAAGUAAAAGAAAGCAGAGUUUUAGCCUCGUACCUUUUGCAUCAUGUUCUAGCUAGAGCCUACCAAGCAAAAAGCAUUUUAGUUUGACAACCCGAAACUAAGUGAGCUACCCCAGGACAGCCUAAAGAUAGGGCUAACCCGUCUCUGUGGCAAAAGAGUGGGAAGAUCUUCGGGUAGAGGUGAUAAGCCUACCGAACUUAGUUAUAGCUGGUUACCUAGAAAUUGAAUAAAAGUUCAGCCUCUUGAAUUCUCCCCUCUUUUUAAAGCUUUGCCUUAACUAAAGACCAAGAGAAGUCUAGAGAGUUAGUCAAAGGGGGUACAGCCCCUSUGAAACAAGAUACAACUUUAUUUAGGAGGAUAAGGAUCAAACUCAACUAAGGCAAAAUAUUUCAGUGGGCCUAAAAGCAGCCACCACAAAAGAAAGCGUUAAAGCUCGGAUAUCCUAAUUAUAAGCCCCUAAUUCUGAUCACACAAUCCAACUCCCCUUUAUUUACUAGGUCUUCCCAUAGCCACUUAUGGGAGUGAUUAUGCUAGUAUGAGUAAUAAGAGGCCUCUGGACCUCUCCACGCACAAGUGUACCUCGGAACGGACAUACCACCGAAGAUUAAUCCGCCCCCAAAAUCAGAGGGCACUAGGCCAAAAAAAGAAGACUAGAAAACCGCCAAAACUUCAGCGUUAACCCCACACUGGUGCGCAGACAUGGAAAGACUAAAAGGAAGAGAAGGAACUCGGCAAACUUACAUGAAGCCUCGCCUGUUUACCAAAAACAUCGCCUCUUGCCUGACUAACAUAAGAGGUCCCGCCUGCCCUGUGACUAUAGGUUUAACGGCCGCGGUAUUUUGACCGUGCGAAGGUAGCGCAAAUCACUUA
rnacentral:rRNA from 1 species